UACAGAGGUCCCAAGCGUUGUUCGGAUUCAUUGGGCGUAAAGGGUGCGUAGGCGGCGCGGUAAGUCGGGUGUGAAAUCUUGGAGCUUAACUCCGAAACUGCAUUCGAUACUGCCGUGCUUGAGGACUGGAGAGGAGACUGGAAUUUACGGUGUAGCGGUGAAAUGCGUAGAUAUCGUAAGGAAGACCAGUGGCGAAGGCGGGUCUCUGGACAGUCCCUGACGCUGAGGCACGAAGGCCAGGGGAGCAAACGGG
rnacentral:rRNA from 1 species